rnacentral:misc_RNA from 1 species
CUUUCCAACUUAUUAAUCCAGUGAACAAUAAUUAAUCAAGAAAGUACAGCAUCACAAUGAUUUAUGAUAAUAAUAGCUGAUGCUGAACUCAAAAAACACUCAAAAGGGGAAAAAGAAAUAACCUCUUGAAUUCUAUUAAUUCUCAGUGAUCAAUAUCAAUAAUAAUAAACUCUACAUAAAUAAUUAGAUGACAUAGGUAUUUAUAUUAAUAACUAGUCCUACUAGUACU